rnacentral:rRNA from 1 species
UGGCUCAGAUUGAGCGCGGGCGGCAUGGCUAAAGCAUGCAAGUCGAACGCGAAAGUUCUUCGGGAGCGAGUAGAGUGGCGAACGGGCGAGGAAUGCGUGUCUAACGUACCCCAAGGUCGAGGAUAGCUCGGGGAAACCCGGGGUAAUACUCGAUGACCCCGGCGGAUCGCAUGGUCUGCCGGGCAAAGGUUUACUGCCUUGGGAUCGGGGCACGUCCUAUCAGGUUGUUGGUGAGGUAACGGCUCACCAAGCCAAAGACGGGUAGCGGGUGUGAGAGCAUGACCCGCCGCAUCGGGACUGAGACACUGCCCGGACUCCUACGGGAGGCUGCAGUAACGAAUCUUCCGCAAUGCGCGAAAGCGUGACGGAGCAAUGCCGCGUGCGGGAUGAAGCUCUUCGGAGUGUAAACCGCUGUCAGGGGCUAGCAAUUUUGAGCGACCCCAAAGGAAGAGCCGGCUAACUCUGUGCCAGCAGCCGCGGUAAUACAGAGGGCUCGAGCGUUAAUCGGAAUCACUGGGCUUAAAGCGUGCGUAGGCGGACUUGAAAGUAUCAUGUGAAAUCCCACGGCUCAACCGUGGAACUGCAUGGUAAACUUCAAGUCUUGAGGUCGGUAGAGGUUGUCGGAACUCUAGGUGGAGCGGUGAAAUGCGUAGAUAUCUAGAGGAACGCCUAUGGUGAAGACAGGCAACUGGGCCGAUCCUGACGCUGAGGCACGAAAGCGUGGGUAGCGAACGGGAUUAGAUACCCCGGUAGUCCACGCCGUAAACGAUGUGUACUAGAUUGUGGAGGUUCUGACACCAUCACAGUCGAAGCAAAAGCAAUAAGUACACCGCCUGGGGAGUACGGUCGCAAGAUUAAAACUCAAAGGAAUUGACGGGGGCUCACACAAGCGGUGGAGCAUGUGGCUUAAUUCGAGUCAACGCGAAGAACCUUAUCCUGGGUUUGACAUGUAUGAAUUAGCUUUUGGAAACAUAAGCCACACUCUUUGCGUGGAACAUACACAGGUGCUGCAUGGCUGUCGUCAGCUCGUGCCGUGAGGUGUUAGGUUAAGUCCUUUAACGAGCGAAACCCCUGCCGUUAGUUGCUAACAGGUAAUGCUGAGGACUCUAGCGGGACUGCCGGUGUCAAACCGGAGGAAGGUGGGGAUGACGUCAAGUCCUCAUGGCCUUUAUGUCCAGGGCUGCACACGUGCUACAAUGGCGUAUACAGAGCGACGCGAGACCGCAAGGUGGAGCAAAUCGCAAAAAGUACGCCCCAGUUCGGAUUGGGGUCUGCAACUCGACCCCAUGAAGUUGGAAUCGCUAGUAAUCGCGUAUCAGCUACGACGCGGUGAAUACGUUCCUGAGCCUUGUACAACCGCCCGUCAAGUCAUGGAAGCCGGGAGCACCCGAAGCCGCCGCAUUUCAGUGGU